UACAGAGGUCUCAAGCGUUGUUCGGAUUCAUUGGGCGUAAAGGGUGCGUAGGCGGCGCGGUAAGUCGGGUGUGAAAUCUUGGGGCUUAACUCCGAAACUGCAUUCGAUACUGCCGUGCUUGAGGACUGGGGAGGAGACUGGAAUUUACGGUGUAGCGGUGAAAUGCGUAGAUAUCGUAAGGAAGACCAGUGGCGAAGGCGGGUCUCUGGACAGUUCCUGACGCUGAGGCACGAAGGCCAGGGGAGCAAACGGG
rnacentral:rRNA from 1 species